GAUGAACGCUGGCGGCGUGCCUAAUACAUGCAAGUCGAGCGAACGGACGAGAAGCUUGCUUCUCUGAUGUUAGCGGCGGACGGGUGAGUAACACGUGGAUAACCUACCUAUAAGACUGGGAUAACUUCGGGAAACCGGAGCUAAUACCGGAUAAUAUUUUGAACCGCAUGGUUCAAAAGUGAAAGACGGUCUUGCUGUCACUUAUAGAUGGAUCCGCGCCGCAUUAGCUAGUUGGUAAGGUAACGGCUUACCAAGGCAACGAUGCAUAGCCGACCUGAGAGGGUGAUCGGCCACACUGGAACUGAGACACGGUCCAGACUCCUACGGGAGGCAGCAGUAGGAAAUCUUCCGCAAUGGGCGAAAGCCUGACGGAGCAACGCCGCGUGAGUGAUGAAGGUCUUCGGAUCGUAAAACUCUGUUAUUAGGGAAGAACAUAUGUGUAAGUAACUGUGCACAUCUUGACGGUACCUAAUCAGAAAGCCACGGCUAACUACGUG
rnacentral:rRNA from 1 species